rnacentral:lncRNA from 1 species
GUCGAGGCCCUACGGGGCGUCAAUACGCACGCGUACUUUGUGUCCCAGGUAGCUCGUCUCUUAGCCAUGUACGCCUCUGCAUUCCGGUCACUGGGAGCGGGGCCGUGGGGGCUGCACAUGCGCACUGCGAGUCCUCGCCUACUCCCAGAAACCACCCGGGCGCAUACGCGGUGCGGCCGCUGCUUCAGGUCGGCGGGCUCCAGGGAGACCUGGGUGGGCAGCGUCGCCGUUUCUCCUUUCUUGGGCAGUAUUUUUCCCAGCGCCACGCGGAGGCUGGGCCAUUAUGAGCUCUGCAUUUCCAGGACCUGGUCACUAUUCAGGACACGGUUCCAGCGCAGUGCGCGUUAGCCAUGUCUCAGCUCCAGACUGAGAGGACGCAGCAUAGAAAAUGCUUAUGAGUGGUUCAGACUCAGUAAUGGGAUGAGUGACAUUCCAAGAUGUGGCCAUUGACUUCUCCAAGGAAGAGUGGGGAUUCCUGAACCCUGCUCAGAGAGAUUUGUACACAACUGUGAUGCUGGAGAAUUAUCAGAACCUGGUCUGGCUGGGACUUUCCAUUUCUAAAUCUGUGAUUUCACUGUUGGAGAAAAGGAAACUGCCUUGGAUAAUGGCAAAAGAAGAGAUAAGAGGCCCAUUGCCAGAUGUGCCAGGUGCAGAGAUUAAGGAGUUAUCUGCAAAGAGGGCUAUUAAUGAAGUAUUAUCGCAGUUUGACACAGUGAUAAAAUGUACAAGAAACGUAUGUAAGGAAUGUGGAAAUCUAUACUGCCACAAUAUGCAGCUUACUCUCCAUAAGAGAAAUCAUACACAAAAGAAAUGCAAUCAGUGUUUAGAUUGUGGGAAAUACUUCACUCGUCAAUCAACUCUCAUUCAGCAUCAAAGAAUCCACACGGGAGAGAGACCCUAUAAAUGUAACGAAUGUAUUAAAACCUUCAACCAGAGGGCACACCUUACCUAGCAUGAGAGAAUUCACACUGGUGAGAAAC